rnacentral:tRNA from 1 species
CGCGGGGUGGAGCAGCCUGGUAGCUCGUCGGGCUCAUAACCCGAAGGUCGUCGGUUCAAAUCCGGCCCCCGCAACCAACA